rnacentral:rRNA from 1 species
ACCGGCGGACGGGUGCGUAACACGUGGGAAUAUACCUUUCGGUACGGAACAACUGAGGGAAACUUCAGCUAAUACCGUAUACGUCCUUACGGAGAAAGAUUUAUCGCCGAAGGAUUAGCCCGCGUUCGAUUAGCUAGUUGGCGAGGUAAUGGCUCACCAAGGCAACGAUCGAUAGCUGUUCUGAGAGGAAGAUCAGCCACACUGGGACUGAGACACGGCCCAGACUCCUACGGGAGGCAGCAGUUGGGAAUCUUGGACAAUGGGGGAAACCCUGAUCCAGCCAUGCCGCGUGAGUGAUGAAGGCCUUCGGGUUGUAAAGCUCUUUUACCCGGGAAGAUAAUGACUGUACCGGGAGAAUAAGCUCCGGCUAACUUCGUGCCAGCAGCCGCGGUAAUACGAAGGGGGCUAGCGUUGUUCGGAAUUACUGGGCGUAAAGCGCGCGCAGGCGGUUUCUCAAGUCAGUGGUGAAAGCCCGGAGCUCAACUCCGGAACUGCCAUUGA